rnacentral:rRNA from 1 species
AUUGAACGCUGGCGGCAGGCCUAACACAUGCAAGUCGAACGGUAACAGGAAACAGCUUGCUGUUUCGCUGACGAGUGGCGGACGGGUGAGUAAUGUCUGGGAAACUGCCUGAUGGAGGGGGAUAACUACUGGAAACGGUAGCUAAUACCGCAUAACGUCGCAAGACCAAAGAGGGGGACCUUCGGGCCUCUUGCCAUCGGAUGUGUCCAGAUGGGAUUAGCUAGUAGGUGGGGUAACGGCUCACCUAGGCGACGAUCCCUAGCUGGUCUGAGAGGAUGACCAGCCACACUGGAACUGAGACACUGUCCAGACUCCUACGGGAGGCAGCAGUGGGGAAUAUUGCACAAUGGGCGCAAGCCUGAUGCAGCCAUGCCGCGUGUAUGAAGAAGGCCUUCGGGUUGUAAAGUACUUUCAGCGGGGAGGAAGGGAGUAAAGUUAAUACCUUUGCUCAUUGACGUUACCCGCAGAAGAAGCACCGGCUAACUCCGUG